GACAGAGGUCCCGAGCGUUAGGCGGAAUCACUGGGCUUAAAGCGUGUGUAGGCGGAUUUGUAAGUACCUUGUGAAAUCCCACGGCUCAACCGUGGAACUGCUUGGUAUACUGCUUAUCUUGGGCCACUUAGGGGUUACCGGAACAAACGGUGGAGCGGUGAAAUGCGUAGAUAUCAUUUGGAACGCCAAUGGUGAAAACAGCUCGCUGGGGGUUUGCUGACGCUGAGACACGAAAGCCAGGGGAGCAAACGGG
rnacentral:rRNA from 1 species